AACCCUAAGGCUGAAAGCGGGGUAGCAACAAGGAUUGAUACUGGUAGUCCACGCCGUAAACGAUGGUUACUAGUCGCUUUGUCCCUUGAGGACUUAGUGACGCAGCUAACGCAAUAAGUAGACCGCCUGGGGAGUACGGCCGCAAGGUUAAAACUCAAAUGAAUUGACGGGGGCCCGCACAAGCGGUGGAGCAUGUGGUUUAAUUCGAUGCAACGGGAAGAACCUUACCUGGUCUUGACAUACACAGAAUCUUGUAGAGAUACGAGAGUGCCUUCGGGAAUUGUGAUACAGGUGCUGCAUGGCUGUCGUCAGCUCGUGUCGUGAGAUGUUGGGUUAAGUCCCGCAACGAGCGCAACCCUUGUCCUUAGUUACCAGCGGGUUAAGCCGGGAACUCUAAGGAUACUGCCAGUGACAAACUGGAGGAAGGCGGGGACGACGUCAAGUCAUCAUGGCCCUUACGACCAGGGCUACACACGUGCUACAAUGGUAGGUACAGAGGGCAGCUACACAGCGAUGUGAUGCGAAUCUCAAAAAGCCUAUCGUAGUCCAGAUUGGAGUCUGCAACUCGACUCCAUGAAGUAGGAAUCGCUAGUAAUCGCGGAUCAGAAUGCCGCGGUGAAUACGUUCCCGGGCCUUGUACACACCGCCCGUCACACCAUGGGAGUUGAUUGCACCAGAAGUGGUUAGCC
rnacentral:rRNA from 1 species